GGGAAUUUUGCGCAAUGGGGGAAACCCUGACGCAGCAACGCCGCGUGGAGGAUGAAAUCCCUUGGGAUGUAAACUCCUUUCGAUAGGGAAGAUAAUGACGGUACCUAUAGAAGAAGCCCCGGCUAACUUCGUGCCAGCAGCCGCGGUAAUACGAGGGGGGCAAGCGUUGUUCGGAAUUAUUGGGCGUAAAGGGUGCGUAGGCGGUUUGACAAGUCUCAUGUGAAAUCUUCGGGCUCAACUCGAAGUCUGCAUGGGAAACUGUCGGGCUUGAGUAUGGGAGAGGUGAGUGGAAUUUCCGGUGUAGCGGUGAAAUGCGUAGAUAUCGGAAGGAACACCUGUGGCGAAAGCGGCUCACUGGACCAUAACUGACGCUGAGGCACGAAAGCUAGGGGAGCAAAC
rnacentral:rRNA from 1 species